rnacentral:rRNA from 1 species
AUUGAACGCUGGCGGCAUGCUUUACACAUGCAAGUCGAACGGCAGCGCGGGCUUCGGCCUGGCGGCGAGUGGCGAACGGGUGAGUAAUGCAUCGGAACGUGCCCAGUAGUGGGGGAUAGCCCGGCGAAAGCCGGAUUAAUACCGCAUACGACCUGAGGAUGAAAGCGGGGGACCGAAAGGCCUCGCGCUAUUGGAGCGGCCGAUGUCGGAUUAGCUAGUUGGUGGGGUAAAGGCUUACCAAGGCGACGAUCCGUAGCUGGUCUGAGAGGACGACCAGCCACACUGGGACUGAGACACGGCCCAGACUCCUACGGGAGGCAGCAGUGGGGAAUUUUGGACAAUGGGGGCAACCCUGAUCCAGCCAUGCCGCGUGCGGGAAGAAGGCCUUCGGGUUGUAAACCGCUUUUGUUCGGGAAGAAAUCCUCUGGGCUAAUACCCCGGGGGGAUGACGGUACCGGAAGAAUAAGCACCGGCUAACUACGUG